UGAGCAGGCUGGACGAUCGCUCGAUCAAAAGAGAGGAAAGUCCGGACUCCUAGGGCAAGGGUGGUUGCUAACGGCAACUCGGAAUAAAAGCCGAAGGAAAGUGCAACAGAAAACAUACAGCCCACUUCAUCUCUAAAGCCUGCCUGCCGGUAGGCAAGGAUGGAAGGCGAUAGGUGAAAACGGGAGGUAAGAGCUCCCGACGCGAAUAAGGCUGGAGACAGCCGCGUUGUAAACCCCACCAGGAGCAAGGUCAAACAGAGAAAGCACCGAAGCCCGUGCGUUAUGAUCUCGAGUAGACCGCAAAGAAUCUUACAGCAAUGUAAGAUCAAGACAGAUGAUCGUCGUCCCGAUUUUAUCGGGAUACAGGAUCCGGCUUACAGGCCUGCUCGUUGA
rnacentral:RNase_P_RNA from 3 species